rfam:Oryza glumipatula chromosome 10, whole genome shotgun sequence.
AAGACAAACAACCCUGGUUUCCGUGUCCAACGUUUGACCGUCCGUCUUAUUUAAAAAAUUUAUGAAAAAAAUUAAAAAGACAAGUCACGCAUAAAAUAUUAAUCAUGUUUUAUCAUCUAACAACAAUGAAAAUACGAAUUAUAAAAAAAUUUCAUAUAAAACGGAGGGAGGGAGGGAGUACAUUUAAACGGAGGGAGACAGUUAAAGUUGGACACGGAAACCCAGAGUUUGUCUUUUU